UUUUGUUUAUUUUGUGUUUGUUGUACAAAUGCAGCUUCAGUCAAACCUCUCCCCCCGUCUUGUCUUUCAGGCAUGACACGAGCAAAGGAACAGCAUCCCUGUCCCAUUUGCAGGAACACAUAUUCGAGCAUCGGACACCAUCUAAAAAGGGCACAUAAAAUUGAAAAUAGAGAGGAAAGAAGAAUUCUAACCUGCAUGGCUAGUGGUCGCAUUGGUGUCAGGUGUGAGCCCUGUCCUGUCUGUGGACGUAAAGGCACCAGACUUGAUAGACACCUAAAAAAUAACCACAAAUUGUCAGCGCCACAGGUACAGGUUCACUUGCAGACAGCAAAAAACCAAUGUGCAAACGCUCUUCUGGCGAACCUGCGAGCCAGUGGUCCUGCAGCUCCUGCGGCGACUUUUUCUGACCCUCCGGCUGAACCACACAAUUCCCCUGCGACAUGUCGGAAUCCAGGCUGUCUUCGUUCCCUGCAAUGUUGGAAAAGCAGAUGCUUAAAGCUGCAGCACAACGUUCACAAGUUACAGGGGGAGCUUGUCAGAUUGAGGGCCCAAGUCCAUGAGAAAAACCUAAAGCACUUUAGGAAGAGCAAGCGCUUAGCAGCUCAGGGCCCGCUGGUACCAGUCAGGGAUGAGGAGGCUACAGGAGCUGGAGCAGCAGCAGCAGCAGCAGCAGCAGCAGGAGAGGCAGGAGAUUUGGAGGGUGGUGUCUCACCAUCCAGCCCUUCACAGCCUCAGUGGGCCAAUUGGUCUGUGUCACCGUCACCUGAGUCUGAGGGAGGUGGCGGGGAAGGACCAGAAAGAGAGCAGGGUGGAGCAGUGGUGAGUAAGAAAUACAUGGUUUGGACACAAUAUGGAGGUAUUGAUGUAAGUGACAGAAAGUUUCACUGUGAGGUAAACACAGCUGACAAUGUUUAACUCUGUCACAAUAGCACUUUAGGAAGAGCAAGCGCUUAGCAGCUCAGGGCCCGGUGGUACCAGUCACGGAUGAGGAGGAUACAGGAGCUGGAGCAGCAGCAGGAGAAGCAGGAGAUUUGUCUGAGGGGGGUGGCAGGGAAGGACCAGAAAGACAUCAGGAGCAAGAUGGAGGGGGUAGCACAUCAUCUCGUCUAAUAGAGAAUGCUACUGUAAGUAUCGAUGCACAAAAUUUGUGUGCUAAUCUCCACUGUCAGUUUUAAGUUGCUAAAUACAUUGGCAUUGACGUUUUCCUGGAAUAAUGCUUGUUGGUUUUAUUUGUUUUUUUUUAACAUAGCUCUAUGGCACUGUGGUCUGUAAAAAAUGACCAUAUUCAUCUCUGUCUUUGCAGUUAAGAGCAAAACAGCGGCCAGCAGAGACUCUGAGGUACCAAGUGAAGGAACCUUCAGUAUUGGUGAGAAAACUGUUUAGCAGCAGAGGACGUGCAUCAGGCUCGGGAAAGCUCCUUUUCCAACCAUCAAUUGGUAGUUUGUGUGUAUGUACAUAACUGGGUUUUGUUUUUGUCUUCGUUUAUGUAAUGAAAAACAAUAUCUUGUUUUCACAGAGCAAUACCUGAAGGUUUACAAAAAUAAACUAGAAGGAGAGCAGCCUUCA
ensembl:lncRNA